AACUUGUGUAGGUUUUAUUUUAAUUUACAAAUUUAACUUGUUCUUUGAUUAGAAACCAAUUUCUAAAAUCUAUCUUAUUAUAUAAAGUACAGUUUUGAAGGUUAGUAACUCACGAGAUCAUGACAAGUCUCUAUUUUAGCGAUUUUAGAUUUUGAUACGUGUAAAACUUAAUAUUAAAAUUUUUGAAAUUAGAAAAAGAUUGAAAAAAAUUAGAAAUUUUAAACAAGAACAUACAUAUAAGAUCAUAGUAGCAAGUUCUCUUGAGAAAUAUAUAUAUAUAUAUAUAUAUAUAUAUAUAUAUAUGCAAAUAUAAUUAAAAUUGGUUAUGUCAAACGACAAUUGGAUGAACCUAUGGAUAAUGAGAUAACUUCAUACGUGGUUCUUUUUUUGAACUUCGGUUGUAUAUACUUCGGUUUGAUGGUAUCUAACCAGUUAAAAGUAUGACGAUUUGUGUUGAAAUUGUGGAAAUAGUUGUUCUUUUUAAAAAUAUCAAUUUCAAUAAAAAGAAGGAAAUUGACAAGGCGUAAGAAAUGUAAUAAAUUUAAUUAAUGAAAAGUUUUUUGUAUUACGAACAAAUUGAUACCAAAAUUUAGGUCAGAAAGAGGGUUGAUUUCCAUCUAAAAUGAUGGAGAAAGAGAAACUCGGUUGAUAGCAUAACACAAACUUGGAUUCUCAAAUAUGACAAAGAAAAGUGAGAAAACAGUUAUGACAAGACUUUUUUAUGGCAACGUUUGGUUCAUAUGUAGCUAGACUUGAUGACGAGGUGUCUGGUAUUACUGUUUUGAGGUUGAAUGGUGGGAUAUAGAUUUAAACGUCUUUUUGUGUGUAAUUUAUCUAAGCUUUUUCAAUUGGUUCGAGAAGAUUUAUUCUAAAGUUUUAGAUCUUAUCAGAUAUGUGGAGAAAAAAACCGAACAUCCGAAUAAACUCGAAAUGUCUGAAAUUUGGUAGAGUAUUCCGGAGACAUGGAACUAAGGGAUCGAAUUUCGAGUUCAUAGGAAUAAACCAAGUCGUUUCGAUAUUUAAUUCAUAUGCUUAUGGAAUUAAGUUUGGUUAAGGUUAUUAAGUUUAAAUUUAAUUUUUUUACAGAAAAGAAGAUGAAAAAAAUGAGAAAGAGUGAGGAACAUAACGAAGAAGAGGAAAAUGAAGAGUAUAACGAAGAAACGGAUAAUGAAAGUAAUAAUAACAACGAUCAUAAGAAAAUCGACAAUAAAGAUGACGAAAAAAAUAUGAAAAGUAAGAAACGAUGAAUGUGAAAAGAAAUACGAAGAUGGUAUUGGCAUCCCAUUAAAUAUGAUAUAAGAUU
rnacentral:sRNA from 1 species